rnacentral:lncRNA from 1 species
GAUGACUAAUUCUUUAAAUCUAUAAUGGGAAAAAAUUUCAAAUCAUGAGCUUAUGUAAUGAAUACAUUGGCUAGAUAAUUAUGUAAUAAUAUAAAUAAAUAAUUUUAUCAAAAAAUAUAAAAUCUAAAUAUUACAUUAUUAUAGGUUUUUUUUAUGUCUUUUUUUCAUUGAUAAUAUGAUAUUUUGUACCGAUCAAUAUAUUAUGUACCG